rnacentral:rRNA from 2 species
GUCCUAAGCUGAGGCCGACAGGCGUAGGCGAUGGAUAACAGGUUGAUAUUCCUGUACCACCUAUAAUCGUUUUAAUCGAUGGGGGGACGCAGUAGAAUAGGCGAAGCGUGCGAUUGGAUUGCACGUCUAAGCAGUAAGGCUGAGUAUUAGGCAAAUCCGGUACUCGUUAAGGCUGAGCUGUGAUGGGGAGAAGACAUUGUGUCUUCGAGUCGUUGAUUUCACACUGCCGAGAAAAGCCUCUAGAUAGAAAAUAGGUGCCCGUACCGCAAACCGACACAGGUAGUCAAGAUGAGAAUUCUAAGGUGAGCGAGCGAACUCUCGUUAAGGAACUCGGCAAAAUGACCCCGUAACUUCGGGAGAAGGGGUGCUCUUUAGGGUUAACGCCCAGAAGAGCCGCAGUGAAUAGGCCCAAGCGACUGUUUAUCAAAAACACAGGUCUCUGCUAAACCGUAAGGUGAUGUAUAGGGGCUGACGCCUGCCCGGUGCUGGAAGGUUAAGAGGAGUGGUUAGCUUCUGCGAAGCUACGAAUCGAAGCCCCAGUAAACGGCGGCCGUAACUAUAACGGUCCUAAGGUAGCGAAAUUCCUUGUCGGGUAAGUUCCGACCCGCACGAAAGGCGUAACGAUUUGGGCACUGUCUCAACGAGAGACUCGGUGAAAUCAUAGUACCUGUGAAGAUGCAGGUUACCCGCGACAGGACGGAAAGACCCCGUGGAGCUUUACUGUAGCCUGAUAUUGAAAUUCGGCACAGCUUGUACAGGAUAGGUAGGAGCCUUUGAAACGUGAGCGCUAGCUUACGUGGAGGCGCUGGUGGGAUACUACCCUAGCUGUGUUGGCUUUCUAACCCGCACCACUUAUCGUGGUGGGAGACAGUGUCAGGCGGGCAGUUUGACUGGGGCGGUCGCCUCCUAAAAGGUAACGGAGGCGCUCAAAGGUUCCCUCAGAAUGGUUGGAAAUCAUUCAUAGAGUGUAAAGGCAUAAGGGAGCUUGACUGCGAGACCUACAAGUCGAGCAGGGUCGAAAGACGGACUUAGUGAUCCGGUGGUUCCGCAUGGAAGGGCCAUCGCUCAACGGAUAAAAGCUACCCCGGGGAUAACAGGCUUAUCUCCCCCAAGAGUUCACAUCGACGGGGAGGUUUGGCACCUCGAUGUCGGCUCAUCGCAUCCUGGGGCUGUAGUCGGUCCCAAGGGUUGGGCUGUUCGCCCAUUAAAGCGGUACGCGAGCUGGGUUCAGAACGUCGUGAGACAGUUCGGUCCCUAUCCGUCGUGGGCGUAGGAAAUUUGAGAGGAGCUGUCCUUAGUACGAGAGGACCGGGAUGGACAUACCUCUGGUGUACCAGUUGUCGUGCCAACGGCAUAGCUGGGUAGCUAUGUGUGGACGGGAUAAGUGCUGAAAGCAUCUAAGCAUGAAGCCCCCCUCAAGAUGAGAUUUCCCAACUUCGGUUAUAAGAUCCCUCAAAGAUGAUGAGGUUAAUAGGUUCGAGGUGGAAGCAUGGUGACAUGUGGAGCUGACGAAUACUAAUCGAUCGAAGACUUAAUCAA